ACAUGGAAGCACACCGUCGUUAGAAACAAGUGUAGCAUGUGUAGUAAAGAUGACCAUGUUAAACAGCUAGGAAUUUUCACCUAAUUGCCCAUUUAUAUAACACUGCAAAAAAGGACCAGGCAUCCUAGCUAUGUCAGAUCAUUUCUUUGCUCACCAAAGAGAUUUGAAAUGCACUUUUAAUUAUUAUUGCCGAUUUGCUAUGGCUAUAUUCCUUAAUAUGAAUAUCUGAUUAGCAUUAAUUUUCUUUAAUUGAUGAAUAGAGCACUUAAACUCGUAGGGUUGCAUUUUUUGUUCAUAUUGGUAUAUGUACUACAUUGUGGUAUGGCGUAUCUUACGUAUUAUGACUUUUCCCUGGAGUACAAAUUACAGGCUCUUUUUAUCUGUUUUUGUUUGAGGUCAUUUUUCUUCCUUCCUUCACCUUUGUGUGGCUUCUUAGAUUUGUUAAUGGAGAUAGAGCAGGGCUAAGUGACUAUUAAACUGUUUUCUAUAUACAGUAAAACCCAUUAACAUGGACCUCACUAAAUUUGGAAUUUAUGAUAAUGAGGGCAGGGCCUGGGUUAAAGUUUACUUUUGCAUUGUCUCUGAAUUAAAGCUUUGAUGAGCUAAUAAAUAGUAUACAUAUAAUCACAGGAGAAUGGCACUCUUACUUUUAAAAGCAGCCUUUUCUGGCACUCUAGAGAAGGGCCUUGCAGGAGAGGUAAUAAGGUAGUGUGGAGAUGGCAGAAUGCAAAGACUGUACCACUAACCAGCUAUGUGACCUUGGACAAAUUACUUAGCUUCUCUGAGUAUCUUUUUUCUCAUCUAUAAAAUGGAGAUAGUUAUCUAAUUUAUGGAGUUGCUGUGAGGGUUAGGUUUAAUGUAUAAAAGUGCCUGGUGAACAGUACAUACUUCAUAAAUGGCAGGUAAUUAUUGCCAAUCUAAAGUAAUUGGUGAACUAAUUUCACAUAUGUCUAUGUCUCUUUUGUUUUUUCUUUGCUUUUUAGGGCCGUAUUCAUGGCAUGUGGAGGUUCCCAGGCUAGGGGCCGAAUUGGAGCUAUAGCUGCCAGCCUACACCACAGCCACAGUAACGCAGGAUCCAAGCCGCGUCUGCGACCUACACCGCAGCUCACAUCUGCGACCUACACCACAGCUCACGGCAACACCGGAUCCUUAACUCAGUGAGGGAGGCCGGGGAUCAAAUACGCAACCUCAUGGUUCCUGGUCGGAUUCGUUUCCACUGUGCCAGGACGGCAACUCCUCAUACUUCCCAUUUUUAAGGAAGGCAAGGUUCCUUGGCACUUUAGAGUUGUGUUAACCUAAUCUGAGAUAUUGCUUUAUUAUUAUAAUUGAUUAAAGGCAAGCCCAGCAGUUUAGUGUGGUGGUAAAGAACAUGAGCUUUGGAGUCAGACAAACUCAGACUUGAAAGUAGUUCUACCACUAAUUAUCUAUGUGGCCUUAGGCAAGCUACUUAUUAUCUCUCAGGUUUUGUUUUCUAAUUUGUAAAAGUGGAAUAACAAUAUCUGCUCCAGGACUUUUGUGAGGACUCAGUGUGAUAUGGGUAAAGUGUUCAGCCUAGUGAUUUUCAUGUAGUAAACUCUCAAAUAUCAACUGUUGCUGUUGUCAUGAUUUUUUUCACAGUACUAAAUAGUUUAGACCUUUAUUUCAUUGACUUGUUUUUUUCAACUCAUCUGCUUAAUGAAUUUAGAUAUAAUCUCCAUUCUAGAUGAAAAUUUUAAGUAUGUAAGUAAAAAUUGUAGGGAAACAAAAUGGCUAAAUACAUAAGGUGAAAGAGGAAAAAUAAUGUUUUAAAAAUGGAAGCAUGAGAUCUCAAGUUAGGCUUAAAUUACUGAUAGUCACUUUCGUGCAUAAUAUUUAUGUUCUUUGUAAAAGGUCUCUAUAUUACCCAGAAAAAAACAGAAAUUUAUAUAUACGUAGUAGAAAGCGUGGACUGGUGACCCAGCUCAUGUCAUUCAUUGGUGAGAGAAGCAGUAAGUCCUCGUUCAACCUUAUUUCUAUCUUCUUGCUUUCCUCUUAUGUUUCAUAGGUUGUAUGAAUGAGAAAUGUAAGCACUAUAAUGUCCUGCAUGGAGACUAUAAUCUAUCCUCCCCUUAAUGACAGGCUUACACACUUUGUCAGAAUCCAUCACCUCAACACAUCAGACUGAAUUACAUUGAUGAUUGGCAAAUGGUACUGCUUGUGGUGAAAUGCAAGGAGCCAGGUGUGUGUGUGUGUGUGUGUAUUAAGUGCUGUUCAAUAGGAGAAAUGUAUUUUACUGAAAACUUUCAUCUGUUGGUGUUUUUGCAGAAGCAGGAAGUGUCCAUCUUUCUUGGGGAAAAUAUAAGAAUUAAUUUUUUGAGAUUUUGAAAUAUUACAAUGCAAAUUCACAACCAUAAAUGAAUUAUAAAAAUUGUGUUUUUUUCCUUAUGUGUACGUGUGUGCACACGUGUGCUCAUCAUAUGCAUGAACGGUGGAACCUUGUAAUAAAAACUAGAGGAGACAGACCAAUCAUACUGUUGGGGCUAUACACCUUUGUCCUUCUAAGCCUGCCCAAUUUAGGCAGGUACUUUUUAAAAGUAAAGUCAGUUCAUUAAGUUGGCAACCAGUGAUUUAACAUAUGAAAUAUUUCAUAAUAAAUUUGCAAGUCAGAAAGAAAAAUCUUUUGUCAGAUUAUGUUUUCUAAUUUUGGGUUAGAAAAUAUGAUCACUGUAAUACACUUCAUGUUGAUUAGUUGUAUUAUUUCAGAUCUUUAUUGGAACUAACUAAUGGUUCGUUGUUAAGGUAUGGCAUUAUUUGUCUAGAUUUGGCAUAACAACAGGAACAGCAGUAAUAACUAAUUUUUGUUGAAUGCUUACUAUAUGCAGACACUGCUAGAAGCUGGGGACAUAAUGGGAAGCAAAAAAAAAAAAAAAGGACAUAACUUCAUAUUGUUAAUAACAACCUAUGAAGUAGGUAUAGCUAACGGAACAAAUUCAUAGAGUUUAAACAAUUUGUCCAAGGGUGGCUAGCUAGUAAGUUACAUUGUAUUUGUUAGAGCAGCCUAACCUAUAUCCUGGUUUAGAGAUUCUAACAUAUAGUGGCUUAAAUAAGCUAGGAGCUCCCUGAUACAGUGGAGGUACCAUAUCAGCCCUAUCAGCUUUGUACUGUUUACACUUACUUAGACUGUCAGGUAAGGGGGAAGUAAACUUCUCCCUUACUACUCUGAUAUCCCUGAACGUUGGUCCAUAUGUCUGAAGAUUCAUAAGCAUUCUCUUUAAAGGCACUCCCUAAAUGUUGUACCCCUAACUUCUACUUGCAUCCUACUAGCCAUACCUAGCUGCUAAGAAGGCCUGAACAUAUAAUCUUUAUGGUUGUGUACCUGUCAAAAUUCAGGGGUUCUAAUAUUAAAGGAAAAAGGGGAGAAUAGAUACUAGGGAACAGGUUGGCAGUCUCUGUAUCGUAUGCUAAUUAAGAGCAUUGUUUCAGACUUGGACAAGUGACAAAUGAUCUCAUGACUUUGGAAUAUGCCUGUAUCCGUUUUCCAUUUCUUUCUAAGUAGUAUAUCAAAGUUAUUUAUAUAUGCAGGUAUGUAGUGUGUGUGAUGUAUUUAAGUAUUCAAAGUAUGUGGGGUAUCAUGAAUAUUACAUAAUUCUACAGUAGACUUUGGUCAUCCUUAAGGACUAAUUCAAAAUCUCACAAUAGAAAAAGUCCAUUGGCUUUCAUCUUUGGCAAAAGGCUUGUAAAACCCCCGGGGAUUUGUCUUGCUUGCAUCCUCACUCUAAAAAGAUCUCAGACUCAGAGAUUCUUCUUGUAAGAGGUGUUUUCAUGGAGAAAUGGCUUUAUAGAAAUAAGUUACUCUAAGGUUUUGAGUGAGGCAAGUACUUAAAUCCUAAACAACUCUGGCCCAGAAUUUCAAAAAAUUCCUAGAAUUCUUGGCUUAGACAUUUUCUAUAGAAAUAUGAAUGAACAAGCAUUUAUUCAGAAUACACAUAGGUAGUAAUUAUAUUGAGAUGGACCCACAGAUUUUUAUCCAGAUAUCUCCUGGGGCUACAGGUAGUGUGAGGAGAUAAGCAUAGGCUAGACCUCAAGUACAUACACAUAUAUUCUUAUUUGUUAUCUGAGUAUUGCCCUACUCCCUGCCCUCGCCUCUCCCCCAAACCUAAUGCAUUUCUGAUGUGCUCAGUGAUCCAUGUGGAUAUGCUUGGAAAUAUUAUGUCUUGCACACAGUUAUGCCUCCUUGGUCCCUUUUUCCUGGGUUUGGCUCUUUAAAUUCUACUCCACCAGUGGCUAGAUGAGGCAGGAAAAAAAAAGGGGGGAAGGUUUAAGUUAGAACUGGUCUAAUUAGUCUUGCCCUAGGCCUUAACUGGGUUGGGGGAGGUGGUGGUUCGGGAGGAUGUCUGAAGUGGGAGGCGGUUCCAGACCUCUUUUACCCUAGUGGCUACAUGAAGUAGAGAGAAACAAUCUAAAGAGAAUGAGAACCCCAAGAGACAAACUCCAAAGAAACCACAGAAUCCUAUAGGUCAAAACUUUAACAUUUCUUUCAAUACACCAAAAGUUCCAGCUCCUUUUAAGAGAUUUAGUUGACUCCAGUAGCCUAAUUCAGUUACCUUGUCUUUUUUCUCCCAUGCCUGUGGUGUGGGGGGUGGAGUAAAAGUGAGAAGAAGAUGGAAGUGGAGUUUUGCCCUCCCAUUAGAGGUUGUAUUAGGAUCUGAAAGUCUGGCUACGCUAGAGUUAGCCAGCAGUCUGGCCCUCAGAGACUGAGGGGGUGUGAUGAUCUUGGUAGUGGUUCAGGGAAGGUGUUGGUUCUGAGGAAAUUCAAUUUAGCAGGAGGUUUGGGCAACUAGAAUGUAGAUAGCAGAUGAGCUUCAGAAUCACAAAUGGCAGUGGGCAAUCUAUGCAUAGCUGGAUCCCAGCCAGCGACUGGGGUCCUGGAAUAGCGUCUGGGGGAGAGUUGUGUCAGGGUCCUUGUCAAGUAGAUUUGGGUUCAGGGCAAGGCACAAAGCAUUGCUCGAAACGGGAAAGACAGCGCAGAGGCAGUUCUGAAGAUCUGGCCCUUUUGUCUGGGGUUGGUAGGGAAAGAAAGGGAAAAAUGAUUAUGAAGCAGUUUAGAGUAAACUCAGUGCAAUUCAAUGCAUUUGUGGCCAAAGAAGGACUUUCAAUCCCACUAUCUGGUGAGCUGAAAUUGCUUCUCUUUUGCCUGCCUGAUAAUGGGCUGAAUGUCACAGCUCUGUUGAGCCUCUUAAGUGGAGAUUUCAGGGGCCUUAGCUCAGAGGGAUCUUGGGAUGAAUGGCUGAAGUCAAGACUCAGUGGAAGUAAUAUUACUUGGAAGAAGUUGAGACUACCUAGGAGGAGACCUAGGCCUAGCUUGGAGGCUAUCAUGGUCCAGGCUGCAGAGAAUAGAGCCUGACAAGGUGGGGAAAUUUUAGUAGCAAUUCAGAAGAAAAGGGGUCCACAAAAGACACUUCAAAUUAAAAAAUAACAGGCUUCAGUGACAGGUUUGAUAUAAUGGCUAGAGAAGAGAAAACCGUAAAAUGAUUCUAGGUGGGUUUUUAAAUGCUCAUGUAAUAUGACAUUUUUGCUCAUGAGCCAAAGGGUGUUUAAACAUAUAUGUGAUCCCUUUUGACCAAUUGGAAAAAAAAACUCAAAUAAAUAAAUUAGUUAAUAAAUUGUAUUCAGGCUGAGCUUACUUGUGUGUUGGUUAGCUUUACAUCCCAUUGCAGUGGGAUAUCUCAAAAACAGGCCCCCUUGAUAUGAAUGAAUAAAAAUGUGAAUGAGUAAAAAUGUUUCUUAUAAAGAUGCCUGUCUUUCCUGGUCUAAGAUAGUGUUACUAAUAUACAUGGCAUAGGUAUGACUGAAGAACCUAAGAUGGGACCGACCUAGCUUCUUUCAUGCUGCUUCAUGGGGCCUUUGCCAUGGAGCUCAUGUUUGAAGUGUUUGUGCCUUCUUCAUUUACCUACCUGGUUAGUUCAGAGCCUUUGCUGGAGAAAGUGUGCUCCUGUUUGGCCAGGGUGCUUCACAGCAGGCUUCUUUUUCCGAAGCUGUUGUUUCCCAGCCAAACUGCUUUGAUGCUACCUGAGGGGACAAAGCAGAAAUGUUACUGUUCGUGAAGGGGUAGGACUCAGAGCCUUAGGAUGGGUUUUAUUCCUGUUUAUCAAAGCAAGGGAAAACACACAGAAUCUUUACCUGGGUAGGGAAACAUUGUUUUCAAAAUGCACAGAUAUGUGGUAUGUCUGAUUUUAAUAGGCUUGGAUCUGCGCCUGGGAGUGGCAUGGAUUUCAAAGUCAUUAUUUAAGAUGUACAGUCUGUAGGAUGGGGGUAGACUGAAUACCUGCUUCACGGAAUACUUGCUUCAAAUCACCUUUCACAUCUUCUUGUUGGAAAGACAAUCAUUGGAGAAUCGUCUUGUUACUGUCAGCAAAACUGAAAAGAAAUCAAGACAUUAAGAAUGCCACAGUGGCCAGCAGUUAAUGAUGCCAGUGUUAUGCAAGCUUCGGCAAAGGAAUUUUUUUCAAGACAGCGUGCCUCACUAGCCAGAAAUCAGGAAAGGUCGAACCUAUCCUUUUUAUCUCAGCUGUUUCUUCAGUCAGUGCAGCCCCUCCUAAUUAAAGUGAAUUGAAACAUGCAUUGCCUUUUCAGCUUAAUUGAGUACUUACUAUGUGUGAAUCACUGCACAGAAUAGGGGAGGGAAAAUGAGGGAGACAAAUAAGAUAUUGUCCCUGCCUUCAUUGGAUUUACAGUUAGUUUAAGGGCUUUUUUUGUCUUCUGCUCUUAAUUAAGUGUAUCCCUAAGACAGGAAAUGAAUGGAAAAGUGUAUUCUGUAAGUAUUUGAAAUCUCCUUAAUAUAAGACGAAAUAAAAACUAAUGUGAGCAA
rnacentral:lncRNA from 1 species